CCUACGGGUGGCAGCAGUGAGGAAUAUUGGUCAAUGGUCGGGAGACUGAACCAGCCAAGCCGCGUGAGGGAGGAAGGUACAGAGUAUCGUAAACCUCUUUUGUCAGGGAACAAAGGCGGGGACGUGUCCCCGGAUGAGUGUACCUGAAGAAAACGCCUCGGCUAACUCCGUGCCAGCAGCCGCGGUAAUACGGAGGAUGCGAGCGUUAUCCGGAUGUAUGGGGUUUAAAGGGUCGGCGGGGGGUCUGUAAAGUCGGCGGUAAAAGCCAGGGGCUAAACCCCGAACCGCAGUUGAAACUGGCAGUCUCGAGUUGGAGAGAAGUAUGCGGAAUGCGUGGUGUAGCGGUGAAAUGCAUAGAUAUCGCGCAGAACUCCGAUUGCGAAGGCAGCAUGCCGGCUCCAAACUGACGCUGAGGCACGAAAGCGUGGGUAUCGAACAGGAUUAGAUACCCUGGUAGUC
rnacentral:rRNA from 1 species